rnacentral:lncRNA from 1 species
UCCCAAAGUACUGGGAUUCCAGGGGCGGGCCACCACACCCAGCCAGAUAAUGUAUUUUUAAAGUGUGCUGUAGUAAUUGGCAUCAGGUAAUCAUUCAGUAAAUUGUGGCUAUUAUUGUUAGGCAAGUUUUCAAACUUUGGGCCAUGUGGCCCACUGCAGAUUACAGGGGCUCCGAGAGAGUCAGACAGGCAACAGUGGGUAUGACCAGUUGAGUAA